GUCACAUGGGGGCUCCCCAGGCCGGGAAUCCGGAACUCAGCUCCGCAGGCUGCUGGGGCACUGGGAGGCGGCCGCACCGGGCCAAGCCGGGAGCUCAGCCGGGUUGGUGCCUGCGCGGUAGGCGCCGGGGAUUCUCGGGCAGGGCUUUGCCCCCGGGCCCCCGGCGGGCGGGAGGCAGCUGGAGCGUGGCAAGAUGCUGUCAAUGGGAGCAUGUGAGCUGGGACCCCCGCAUUGUAAAAGGGGGCCACUGGUCGGGCGGUGUCUGCUGGAACGCCAGCUGCGGACCCUGACCCUGCCACAUCCACACGAGUCUGAAACAACCUGGCUCUGCUGAUCUUUGAGGGUGAUUUCUUCAUUUAAGCCUGCGCAUCCGGGACCUGUCACUGAAUUGCUCCUGGGCAGAGCUAUGGAACAAAGAUCUUUUCUAGAAGUCGGGCACGUAAAAAGGACGGUCUCAUUGUAGGGAGUCCUGCAUUCUGACCUGUCUCGCGCAUUCCCCUGCAUAGGUCCGACCGCAGGAGCGGGGUCUGAGUGGCUCCAAUCUCUGAAAUUGAGCCCCCUCCCCAACAAGCUGUUCGAAGUUUGACGCUGUCUCCAAACCACUUGGAAACAUUUUUUUCUGAUUUGCCUGAAAGCUUCAGCAGGGUUAGGGAGUAUGUGUAUGUCCAUGUUGGCUUGUGAGCAGCUUUCCCCGCCUUUCCCAACCUGGUAGCAAACAACCCGUUCUGAGCCCAGAUUCCCCAUUCCCCGGGGUUUGGCAGCCCGGGCCUGACUGCUCCCUGGGCUCCUCCCUGAGGGUUGCUCAGCCCACACCCUUGGCCCUCUCUCUUUAAAGAGCUCCUCCUGAGCCUGUUCCCAGCUGUAUGAGUGCCUACUAAUGGUGGGGGAAGAGGAGGCCUGGUCCUGAAUUCCCUAUCAAGAGGUUAUAUUGCCCUUAGCCUGGGAGCAAAAGGUGUUUCAGCAUUGGGGACAAGUCCAGUUUCUGCGCUAGGGGCGCGUGGGUCUCUCUGGGUGUUUGGUUCUUUUGGGCCAGUUUCCUCACUGCCCCCACUUCCUUGGGGCUACCCCACAGAUCAGGUUGGCAAGGCGUGCUGUUAUGUGCGACAGUGUAUGGUGUCUGUGCAUGUACGAUUCUGUGCAGGCUAUGGUGUGUGUCUCACGCGUGUUGAGUGUGCAGGAGUGUCAGGGUGACUGGCUGUGGUGCUGUGCAUGAGGAUGUGUGACUGUGUGAUUGUCUCUGCCUUUAUGGGAAUAUGUCAAUGGAACUGCAGUGUCCUGUGUGUGUGAGACUAGCGUGUGUGGUUGUGUGGUGCUGGUUUGUGUGUGGUGUGGGAUAGGGUCGUGGUGCAGGUUUUCAGGGGGGCUGAAGAGGCGUGUGGUUUAGGGCUCUGUUUGUGUGGUAUAGAAUUAUGUGCAUAUCAGGGUGUAAUGUAGGGUAUAUGUGGUUGUGUGGUGCAGGGAUGUGUGUGGCGUCGGGUUGUAUAUGUAUGUUGUGCAGGUUUGUGUGUGUCAUGUCUGGGGUGUGUAGUAUGGUUGUGUGUGUAGUGCAGGUUUGGGGGAGUGCGGUUGUGUGUGUGUGGUGCGAUAUAGGGCUGUGGUGCAGGUUUGGGCUGUGUGGCUUAGGGGUGUGUUUAUGUGCUGUAGGCUUAUGAGUGGGUGUAGAGUUGUGUAUUGUUGUGGUGCAGGUUUGUGAGAGGUGUGGGGGGAGGCAGGGGGCA